GUCCACGCCGUAACGAUGAAUGCUAGCCGUCGGGAGCAUGCUCUUCGGUGGCGCAGCCAACGCAAUAAGCAUUCCGCCUGGGAGUACGAUCGCAAGAUUAAAACUCAAAGGAAUUGACGGGGCCCGCACAAGCGGUGGAGCAUGUGGUUCAAUUUGAAGCAACGCGCAGAACCUUACCAGGCCUUGACAUCCCGGUCGCGGCCCCUUGAAAGAGGGGCCUUCAGUUCGGCUGGACCGGUGACAGGUGCUGCAUGGCUGUCGU
rnacentral:rRNA from 1 species